rnacentral:rRNA from 1 species
GCAGUCGACGAGUUCUCGUUGAUGAUCGGUGCUUGCACCGAGAUUCAACAUGGCACGAGUGGCGGACGGGUGAGUAACACGUGGGUAACCUGCCCUUAAGUGGGGGAUAACAUUUGGAAACAGAUGCUAAUACCGCAUAGAUCCAAGAACCGCAUGGUUCUUGGCUGAAAGAUGGCGUAAGCUAUCGCUUUUGGAUGGACCCGCGGCGUAUUAGCUAGUUGGUGAGGUAACGGCUCACCAAGGCGAUGAUACGUAGCCGAACUGAGAGGUUGAUCGGCCACAUUGGGACUGAGACACGGCCCAAACUCCUACGGGAGGCAGCAGUAGGGAAUCUUCCACAAUGGACGCAAGUCUGAUGGAGCAACGCCGCGUGAGUGAAGAAAGCUUUCGGGUCGUAAAACUCUGUUGUUGGAGAAGAAUGGUCGGCAGAGUAACUGUUGUCGGCGUGACGGUAUCCAACCAGAAAGCCACGGCUAACUACGUGCCAGCAGCCGCGGUAAUACGUAGGUGGCAAGCGUUAUCCGGAUUUAUUGGGCGUAAAGCGAGCGCAGGCGGUCUUUUAAGUCUGAUGUGAAAGCCCUCGGCUUAACCGAGGAAGCGCAUCGGAAACUGGGAAACUUGAGUGCAGAAGAGGACAGUGGAACUCCAUGUGUAGCGGUGAAAUGCGUAGAUAUAUGGAAGAACACCAGUGGCGAAGGCGGCUGUCUGGUCUGUAACUGACGCUGAGGCUCGAAAGCAUGGGUAGCGAACAGGAUUAGAUACCCUGGUAGUCCAUGCCGUAAACGAUGAAUGCUAGGUGUUGGAGGGUUUCCGCCCUUCAGUGCCGCAGCUAACGCAUUAAGCAUUCCGCCUGGGGAGUACGAC